UACGUAGGGGGCGAGCGUUGUCCGGAUUUAUUGGGCGUAAAGAGCGUGUAGGCGGCCAGGUAGGUCUGCUGUGAAAACUCGAGGCUCAACCUCGAGACGUCGGCGGAAACCAUCUGGCUAGAGUCCGGAAGAGGAGAGUGGAAUUCCUGGUGUAGCGGUGAAAUGCGUAGAUAUCGGGAGGAACACCAGUGGCGAAGGCGACUACCUGGCCUGUUCUUGACGCUGAGGCGCGAAAGCUAGGGUAGCAAACGGG
rnacentral:rRNA from 1 species